rnacentral:tmRNA from 1 species
GGGGAUGACUUGGUCUCGACGUGGUCAAGGAGACUUAAGUUGCAGGUCGUAUGCAAAAACGUAAAUUGGCAAUUAAAUAUAAACGCAAACAAUAAUAGCGAAGCAAACUUCGCACUAGCUGCCUAAGAAAUAGGCUGCAAUGAAUAUUAGACUAGUCGCAAGUUUAAUAUUCGUUUCAUAAAUUGGCGACAACUAUUGUAUGUAAGCUUUGCCAUACAAUUAGUAUCAUGAAGCUAGCAGAAAGAAUUUUUGUAAGUUUUCAAUCUUUUUUGCGAAACUCCAAAACUUAAUAAGCUUGUAGAUGCUUUUGAAGAAUUUUCCGCGGACAAGGGUUCGAAUCCCUUCAUCUCCACCA